UACGUAGGGUGCAAGCGUUGUCCGGAAUUAUUGGGCGUAAAGAGCUCGUAGGUGGCCUGUCGCGUCGGCUGUGAAAACUCGGGGCUCAACUCCGAGCUUGCAGUCGAUACGGGCAGGCUAGAGUUCGGCAGGGGAGACUGAAAUUCCUGGUGUAGCGGUGAAAUGCGCAGAUAUCAGGAGGAACACCGUAGUGGCAAGGCGGGAUCUCUGGGCCGACUACUGACGCUGAGAGCGAAAGCGUGGGGAGCAAACAGG
rnacentral:rRNA from 1 species